rnacentral:tmRNA from 1 species
GGGGCCGAUAUGGCAUUCGACCGGACAGGGAAGGCUCGGCGUGGCGCGUCGAGGGGCGUGCUGGCCUCGUAAAAAGCACGCAAACCCAUAACUGCCGAACCGCAGUUCGCAAUGGCGGCCUAACACAGGCCUCCGAUCCCCUGCGUGACGCCCGAUAGGGCAGGGGAUCACGACCAUCGGGCUGGUUGCCGCGUGGCGCCUCUUGGCGCGGCAGCGAGGAGGUUACAAGCGGCUGGGCCAAAGCACAGGGCGUUGAUCCCCGGUGCGAGGCCGAGAUCAAACGAUCAACUACACGCGUAGAAGCGUCUUGCUGACUGUCUCGGGACGGGGGUUCGAUUCCCCCCGGCUCCAUUC